UACGUAGGGGGCGAGCGUUGUCCGGAGUACUGGGCGUAAAGCGCACGCAGGCGGUCUGCUAAGUUUGGAGUGACAGUUGGUGGCUUAACUGCCAAAGUGCUUCGAAAACUGACAGACUUGAGGGCUUCAGAGGGACACGGAAUUCCGGGUGGAGUGGUGAAAUGCGUAGAGAUCCGGAGGAACACCAAAGGCGAAGGCGACACGCUGGGCCAUACCUGACGCUAAA
rnacentral:rRNA from 1 species